UACGAGAGGCCCAAACGUUAUUCGGAUUUACUGGGCUUAAAGAGUUCGUAGGCGGUUCGGUAAGUGAGGUGUGAAAGCCCUCGGCUCAACCGAGGAAUUGCGCUUCAAACUGCCGGGCUCGAGGGAGAUAGAGGUGAGCGGAACUGAUGGUGGAGCGGUGAAAUGCGUAGAUAUCUGGAGGAACACCGGUGGCGAAGGCGGCAUCCUGGACCGGCAUUGACGCUGAGGCGCGAAAGCCAGGGGAGCAAACGGG
rnacentral:rRNA from 1 species